UCGCUGACGUCGCCCGCCACCCCGCAGCCGCGCUACGGGAGCAUCAUCACUGUGCUCAGCAUCGACGGCGGCGGCGUCCGCGGGAUCAUCCCCGGCACCAUCCUCGCUUUCCUCGAAGAAAAGCUACAGAAGCUUGAUGGGCCGGACGCGAGGAUUGCGGACUACUUCGACGUGGUCGCCGGGACGAGCACCGGAGGCCUGGUUGCCGCCAUGCUCACCGCGCCCAACGCCCAGGGCCGCCCGCUCUUCGCCGCCAAGGACGUCAACAAGUUCUACCUCGAGCACUGCCCGAAUAUCUUCCCUGCCGCGUGCAAAGGACCUCUGGGCUGGCUCAAGAGCAUGUUGGGACCCAAGUACAACGGCCGGCACCUGCACAAGGUCGUCAAGGAACUGCUUGGCGACACGCGAGUCGAUCAGACGCUCAAGAACAUCGUCAUCCUCACCUUCGAUAUGAAGCUGCACCAGCCUACAAUCUUCUCCACCUAUGACGCCAUGAGGGAUGUCUCCAAGAACGCUCUUCUGUCGGACGUCUGCAUAAGCACGUCCGCAGCGCCGACCUACCUACCUGGCCACCAUUUCGAGACCAAGGACAAAGAUGGCAAGACCCGGGCUUUCAACCUCAUCGAUGGAGGCGUCGUCGCUAACAAUCCGACGCUGCUGGCAAUGACCCACGUAAGCAAGCAAAUCCUGAUGGGAAACCCGGACUACUUCCCUGUCAAGUCUGCAGACUACGGAAAGUUCAUGAUCCUUUCGCUGGGCACCGGCACCGCCAAGAUGGAAGAGAAGUUUGACGUAGCUGAGUGUAGUAAGUGGGGCCUUCUCGGGUGGCUUUACAAGAGGGGUGCCACGCCGAUCAUUGACAGCUUCAGCGAGGCCAGCGCCGACCUUGUUGAUAUCCGGGCAUCUGUGCUCUUUCAGGCACUACACUGCAACAAGCACUACCUCCAGAUCCAGCAGGACAAGCUUACUGGCAACAUGGCCUCCGUUGAUGUGUCCACAUCAAAGAACCCCAACGGGCUCAUUGGUGUCGGCGAGGCGCUGCUAAAGAGGCAGGUGUGCAUGGUGAACGUCGAGACCGGCAAGAACGAGCCCAAUCUAAAAAGGGGCACUAACGAGGAGGAACUGGCCCGUUUCGCUCGCAUGCUGUCGGAAGAGCGCAAAGCCAGAUUUCAGAAGUAG
rnacentral:rRNA from 1 species